CGUACGUAGUACAUACUUACCUCCACGUAUACACGUUGAAUGUUGUGCUAUGUAGAAAAAGAGAAAUCUUCUAUCUACAGGUCAUUUCACGUGUCCAUUUCGUUAUAUUUUGCAAUUAAUAAAAGAGAUGUGUUGCUGACCGAAGUAUUAACGAUUUAUUUAAAUAUAUUUGUCCCUUGGCAUAUAGAAUGAAUGAUUACAUUGAUUAAUAGAUCGGGAGUAGCUGGCGCCUGCUUGCCUGGUUAUUAACCCGUGACCUUUAUGCCACAAUUAACAACGUGGUACUUUCCAUUCAGUAAAUUUCCACAUUUAUGAUGUUUCCUGUGAACAAAUGUAACAAUGUUAUAUAUUAAAAGUUCAAAUACAGGUUCUAUAUUUUUACCAAUUUAUGAAAACAAAAUGAAUUGCACGAUUACAAUCACAUUCGUUUGUCAUAGAUUCUAGAUGUAAGAGACUAUUAAAUUAUUCAACGGAAACAGAGUUUAGUUUCUCUAUGUUCUCGAUCUCGAUUUCUGUGUGAAAAUUAAUAUCGAUAGCUAGUCAAAUUUAUAGACUUCAAUUUCGUUUCAAUUCGAGAUAUCUCAUCGAGAUGGUGCUACUAUCGAUUGGAUACCCCUAUCUAUAAUAAAUAGUUCUUUUCUUUUAGUGGCGUAAAGUACUUACUACUAACUGAUAGGAAAUACGUAACGAACAAUGUGAUAAAAUAUUGAAUGGCAAGUUUUGCAUAUUUCUAGAUUAAAUAUGUUCGAGUGGUCCUUGUGUAGCACACGUUACAGCACGAAGAGAGUAUUGACCGUCUCAGCGGGUACAGUGGAAAUUUCCACUGCCCUACCCCAAGACUUUUAGUGACUACUACAUACACUUUCUAGUCGCGGUCGUGGUGUAUAUUGUUUUCUCACCGUAUUGAUUUACAUAUCGACUUUGGGUGUCAAUGAGAACCACUGACAGAUCAUUUGAUUUUGAAUGAAAUAUUCUUGAAGUAUAAUAAGUACAACAUUGCGCAUCUUUAUGACUUUGCAUAUCUGUUAAGGCAGUAGUGUUAAUCGCGAUAGAGAAAAAGGAAACCUAAGAUCGGCGCUGAUUCAAUAAGUUAAUCGAGAGAAAUACAAGAUACCAGUAUGCGCCUAUUUUUAGCUAAACACUGUCCUUCGGUUUUGCGCAACCACAUGAAAAGAAUGCUAUUUGUUACACUCUGACUGCAACGUCAUAUUCAGAUAUCUAUGCAUGACAAUAUUUACAUGCAUAUAUUACAAUACGUAAAAUUAUAUUAUGAGAAAUAUAUGUACAUAUUACAGUUUUAAAGACAUGCGUAGUAGCUCUUAAGAUAAUUUAUAUUAUUUAAAAUGACGUGCCUAGUAAAAAUAAAAUUAUUAAAUUUUCUUUUUGUUAAUCUAUCAUAAAUAUAAUAUAUCAGUGGCAAUAGAGGAGAACUAUAUAAUGAAUAGAUUUCACUUAUAUUUAAAGAAAUUUAAUAUUUGUUACUGGCUAGUGGUAUUGUAGAAUUCUCUUCACCAAUAUCUGCGAUGGCAUCGUGUUAUAAAUUGUAGAGGGCGUAAAAAACAUUUGAAUGGUUGGCAUUACAGAACAUGAGACGCAAUGUUCAGUAAGAUGCCAAGUACAAAUCACAGAGGGCGUAAGAAUCACUUUAAUGUUUCCCGAGAUCGGUAUUUUCAAAGGAGCUUCCGUAUAAUGUCAGAGACACGGGACAAAAAAUAAAAAUACUUUUGUGCUUUAAUGAAAAAUGAGGAAAUUAAAAU